rnacentral:rRNA from 1 species
UCUUGCACAAUGGGCGAAAGCCUGAUGCAGCGACGCCGCGUGAGGGAUGAAGGCUCUAGGGUCGUAAACCUCUUUUCUCAGGGAANAGUAAGGACGUUACCUGAGGAAUAAGCCACGGCUAACUACGUGCCAGCAGCCGCGGUAAUAUGCC